UCCGGUUUGGCACCGGCAGUCGGACUAGAGUCCCCGACAUUACUCGCUGGCAACUAGUCCCAAGGGUUGCGCUCGUUGCGGGACUUAACCCAACAUCUCACGACACGAGCUGACGACAGCCAUGCAGCACCUGUGCACGAGCUCCGAAGAGCCCCGCAGGUUUCCCCACGAGUUCCCGUGCAUGUCAAGCCCAGGUAAGGUUCUUCGCGUUGCGUCGAAUUAAACCACAUGCUCCACCGCUUGUGCGGGCCCCCGUCAAAAGUUGGUAAGGUUC
rnacentral:misc_RNA from 1 species